AACGCUGGCGGCGUGCUUAACACAUGCAAGUCGAACGGACUUGCCCGCUGAAAAGCGAAGUGCUUGCAUUGAGCUUUUCUUGGACAAGUUAGUGGCGGACGGGUGAGUAACGCGUGGGUAACCUGCCUUUAUCAGGGGGAUAACAGUUAGAAAUGACUGCUAAUACCGCAUAAGCGCACAGUGAGGCAUCUCACAGUGUGAAAAGAUUUAUCGGAUAGAGAUGGACCCGCGUUAGAUUAGCCAGUUGGCGGGGUAACGGCCCACCAAAGCGACGAUCUAUAGCCGGCCUGAGAGGGCGACCGGCCACAUUGGGACUGAGACACGGCCCAAACUCCUACGGGAGGCAGCAGUGGGGGAUAUUGCACAAUGGGGGAAACCCUGAUGCAGCGACGCCGCGUGAGCGAAGAAGUAUUUCGGUAUGUAAAGCUCUAUCAGCAGGGAAGAAAAUGACGGUACCUGACUAAGAAGCUCCGGCUAAAUACGUGCC
rnacentral:rRNA from 1 species